GGUCACUGCUAUUGGGAUUCGACUAAGCCAUGCGAGUCGAGAGGGUUCGGCCCUCGGCUGACGGCUCAGUAACACGUGGAUAAUCUGCCCUUAGGUGGAGGAUAAUCUCGGGAAACUGAGAAUAAUACUCCAUAGAUCUAGGAUGCUGGAAUGCACUUAGAUUGAAAGCUCCGGCGCCUAAGGAUGAGUCUGCGGACUAUCAGGUUGUGGUCAGGGUAAUGACCUGACUAGCCUACGACGGAUACGGGUUGUGAGAGCAAUAACCCGGAGACGAUAUCUGAGACACGAUAUCGGGCCCUACGGGGCGCAGCAGGCGCGAAAACUUCACACUGUGCGAAAGCACGAUGAGGGAAUCCCAAGUGCCAACUCGUAAGAGUUGGCUGUUUCUCUGUCUAAAAAAUAGAGAGAGUAAGAGCUGGGUAAGACGGGUGCCAGCCGCCGCGGUAAUACCUGCAGCUCAAGUGGUGGCCACUAUUAUUGGGCCUAAAACGUCCGUAGCCGGUUUAAUAAAUGCCGGGGUAAAUCGUGUAGCUUAACUAUACGAAUUCCGGGUAGACUGUUAGACUUGAGACCGGGAGAAGCUAGAGGUACUCCUGGGGUAGAGGUGAAAUUCUGUAAUCCUAGGGGGACCACCAGUGGCGAAGGCGUCUAGCUAGAACGGGUCUGACGGUGAGGGACGAAGCCCUGGGGCGCAAACCGGAUUAGAUACCCGGGUAGUCCAGGGUGUAAACGCUGCUUGCUUGAUGUUAGUUGGGCUCCGAGCCCAAUUAGUGUCGGAGAGAAGUUGUUAAGCAAGCUGCCUGGGAAGUACGGCCGCAAGACUGAAACUUAAAGGAAUUGGCGGGGGAGCACAGCAACGGGUGGAGCGUGCGGUUU
rnacentral:rRNA from 1 species